UUUUGAGAUGGAGUUUCUCCCUUGUUGCCCAGGCCGGAGUGCAGUGGCAUGAUCUCAGCUCACCGCAACAUCUGCCUCCCAAGUUCAAGCGAUUCUCCUGCUUCAGCCUCCCAAGUAACUGGGAUUACAGGCAUGCGCCACCAUGCCGGGCUAAUUUUUGUAUCUUUAGCAGAGACAGGGUUUCUCCAUGUUGGUCAGGCUGGUCUCGAAUUCCCGACCUCAGGUGAUCCGCCCACCUGGGCCUCCCAAAGGUAGCUCACUUCUUUUUACCCAUUACAUGGAUAUACCAUAUUUUGUUUAUCCAUUGGCCUGUUGAAGGACAUCUUGGUUGCUUCCAGCUUUAGGCAAUGGUGAAUCAUGUGGUUAUAACAUUCAUGUGGAGUGUUGGAUGUUCUAUUGUGAGAAGGCGAUGCAUGGAACCAAGGCAGCCAUCUUUUUAUCAUGGGGUGAAAAUCUGAGGAUGAAAAGUGAAUAUGCGAAGGAUGCAGAGUGGAAGGAAAGGAAGAACUACAUCCUUGAGGACACGUGGGAGCCAGUGGGCCAAUCCCAGGAUUCCUUGUCAGCUGAACCAUAUCCUGGAAUCCUCCCAGAUACAUCAUCAACGAAAACCCCUGGAUUUCCUUGUGGAUAGCCAAAUCUCUGCCAACUUGUAUAUGAGCAACUUAGGGUCUAGGUGCCUAUUUGGGGUCAAUUAUCACCUCCAGCUUGAUACAACUAAGAGCCAUAAAAGAACAAGAAACAAACUUUUGUUGUGAUGAGCCCAUGAGAUGCUGGAGUGUGUUACUGCUGCGUAGAGGAGGUGAGGUGCAUUAAAGCUUCAUUGCUGAGCCUUUCUGGGAUAAGAUUCAGCCCCACUGGGACAGUUGGUUGGAUUUUGAACUAGGAUUCAUCCCCAUGACAUAUACUUUCAUACAUAAUUACGUAUGUUUUUAUAUGGCUUUCUGAACAGACACAAGGAACUAUACUGAGUCCAAAUGCUGCAAAUCUUCAUGUUAAUGGAAUCAUCAAUGAGCCAAAAGGUGGUCACAUCCCUUGCAAAAACAUACAAGGAGUGUGUUAUGGGCUUUGUGUUCCCCUAAGGCUGCUGAAGUUCUAUCCCCAGCACCUGUGAUUGUGACCUUAUUUGGAGAUGGUCUUUGCAGAUGAUUAAAUUAAUUAAGAUGAGGUCACUCAGGUGGCCCUGAUCUAAUACGACUGCGUCGUUAUGAAAAAGGAACAUUUGGACACAGAGACAAACACACACAGACAGAAACUGAUGUAUACACUCAGGAGAGCAUCAUAUGGAGAUGGAGGAUUAGAGCAAUGCAGCUACAAGCCAAGGCAUGCCUGGAGCUGCCUCAAGCUAGGAGAGAGGCCUGGAACAGCUCCCCUCUCACAGCCCUCAGAAGAAACCAGGUCUGCCAACACCUUGACUUUGGGCUUCUAGACUUCAGAGCUGUGAGGCAAUAUGUUUCUUUUGUUUAAGUCACCCAGUUUGCGGUCUUUUGUUAUAGCAGCCCUGUAAUGAGAACAGGACAAUCCACACU
rnacentral:lncRNA from 10 species